GGUUUGACGGUACCUUUAAAGGAAGCACCGGCUAACUCCGUGCCAGCAGCCGCGGUAAUACGGGAGGUGCAAGCGUUGUUCGGAAUUAUUGGGCGUAAAGCGCGUGUAGGCGGUCUGAUUAGUCUGAUGUGAAAGCCCUGGGCUCAACCCAGGAAGUGCAUUGGAUACUGUCAGACUUGAAUACGGGAGAGGGUAGUGGAAUUCCUAGUGUAGGAGUGAAAUCCGUAGAUAUUAGGAGGAACACCGGUGGCGAAGGCGGCUACCUGGACCGAUUUUGACGCUGAGACGCGAAAGCGUGGGUAGCAAACAGGAUUAAAUACCCUGGUAGUCCACGCCGUAAACGAUGAGAACUAGGUGUCGCGGGUA
rnacentral:rRNA from 1 species